rnacentral:rRNA from 1 species
UAAUACCCUAUAGGUUACAGAUGCUGGAAUGCUCUGUAAUCAAAAGUUCCGGCGCCCUAGGAUGGAUCUGCGGCCGAUUAGGUUGUUGUUGGGGUAAUGGCCCAACAAGCCAGUAAUCGGUACGGGUUGUGGGAGCAAGAGCCCGGAGUUGGAUUCUGAGACACGAAUCCAGGCCCUACGGGGCGCAGCAGGCGCGAAAACUUUACAAUGCGGGCAACCGUGAUAAGGGAACCUCGAGUGCCUGUAAAUGCAGGCUGUUCAGAUGCCUAAAACACAUCUGGAGAAAGGGCCGGGCAAGACCGGUGCCAGCCGCCGCGGUAAUACCGGCGGCUCGAGUGGUGGCCACUUUUAUUGGGCUUAAAGCGUUCGUAGCUGGGUUGUUAAGUCUCUUGGGAAAUCUGGCGGCUUAACCGUCAGGCGUCUAAGGGAUACUGGCAAUCUUGGAACCGGGAGAGGUGAGGGGUACUUCGGGGGUAGGAGUGAAAUCCUGUAAUCCUCGAGGGACUACCUGUGGCGAAGGCGCCUCACCAGAACGGCUUCGACAGUGAGGGACGAAAGCUGGGGGAGCAAACCGGAUUAGAUACCCGGGUAGUCCCAGCCGUAAACUAUGCGCGUUAGGUGUAU